AAAGGAAUUGACGGGGACCCGCACAAGCAGCGGAGCAUGUGGUUUAAUUCGAAGCAACGCGAAGAACCUUACCUGGGCUUGACAUCCCUUGGCCCGCUUUUUAAUAGAAGCCUUCCCUUCGGGGACCAAGGAGACAGGUGGUGCAUGGUUGUCGUCAGCUCGUGUCGUGAGAUGUUGGGUUAAGUCCCGCAACGAGCGCAACCCUUGUCUUUAGUUGCCAUCAUUUCGGAUGGGCACUCUAAAGAGACUGCCGGGGAUAACUCGGAGGAAGGUGGGGAUGACGUCAAAUCAUCAUGCCCCUUAUGUCCAGGGCUACACACGUGCUACAAUGGCCGAUACAAAGGGUAGCGAAAGAGUAAUCUGGAGCCAAUCUCAUAAAGUCGGUCACAGUUCGGAUUGUGGGCUGCAACUCGCCCACAUGAAGUCGGAGUUGCUAGUAAUCGCAAAUCAGAAUGUUGCGGUGAAUGCGUUCCCGGGUCUUGUACACACCGCCCGU
rnacentral:rRNA from 1 species